rnacentral:rRNA from 1 species
UACGUAGGGUGCGAGCGUUAAUCGGAAUUACUGGGCGUAAAGCGUGCGCAGGCGGUUCGUUGUGUCGGCGGUGAAAGCCCCGGGCUUAACCUGGGAAUGGCCGUUGAGACUGGCGGACUCGAGUGUGGCAGAGGGGGGUGGAAUUCCGCGUGUAGCAGUGAAAUGCGUAGAGAUGCGGAGGAACACCGAUGGCGAAGGCAGCCCCCUGGGCUAACACUGACGCUCAGGCACGAAAGCGUGGGGAGCAAACAGG